GAACGAAGGCAGCCAACGCACAUGCAACUUGAAGUAUGACGGGUAUUGCAGGUUGACGAUUUCCCUGGUGUUGGCGCAGUAUUCGCGCACCCCGGCCUCGGU
rnacentral:misc_RNA from 1 species